rnacentral:pre_miRNA from 1 species
CGAUGAUGACGAUGAUGAUGAUGAUGAUGAUGACGAUGAUGGCGAUGAUGAUGAUGAAGGUAACGAUAUGGAUUUUGCUAUGAAAAAAAAUCUAUAGGUAACAUGCAAUCAAUUAAUAAAAACUUCGUCGUCGUCGUCCUCGCCAUAUCUCGUCAUCAUCAUCAUCAUCAUCAUCAUCAUCAUAAUCA